rnacentral:rRNA from 1 species
AAAUCCCAGAGCUUAACUCUGGAACUGCCAUCAAAACUUUUCAGCUAGAGUAUGAUAGAGGAAAGCAGAAUUUCUAGUGUAGAGGUGAAAUUCGUAGAUAUUAGAAAGAAUACCAAUUGCGAAGGCAGCUUUCUGGAUCAUUACUGACACUGAGGAACGAAAGCAUGGGUAGCGAAGAGGAUUAGAUACCCUCGUAGUCCAUGCCGUAAACGAUGUGUGUUAGACGUUGGAAAUUAAUUUUCAGUGUCGCAGCGAAAGCGAUAAACACACCGCCUGGGGAGUACGACCGCAAGGUUAAAACUCAAAUGAAUUGACGGGGACCCGCACAAGUAGUGGAGCAUGUGGUUUAAUUCGAAGAUACGCGCAGAACCUUACCAACACUUGACAUGUUCGUCGCGACUUUGAGAGAUCAAAGUUUUCGGUUCGGCCGGACGAAACACAGGUGCUGCAUGGCUGUCGUCAGCUCGUGUCGUGAGAUGUUGGGUUAAGUCCCGCAACGAGCGCAACCCUCACUUUUAGUUGCCAUCAUUUAGUUGGGCACUCUGAAAGAACUGCCAGUGAUAAGCUGGAGGAAGGUGGGGAUGACGUCAAGUCCUCAUGGCCCUUACGUGUUGGGCUACACACGUGCUACAAUGGUAUCUACAACAGGAAGCAAGACUGCGAAGUUAAGCAAAUCCUUAAAAGAUACCUCAGUUCGGAUUGCACUCUGCAACUCGAGUGCAUGAAGCUGGAAUUACUAGUAAUCGUGGAUCAGCGUGCCACGGUGAAUGCGUUCCCGGGUCUUGUACACACCGCCCGUCACACCAUGGGAGUUGGUUCUACCUUAAGGCAAGGUUUCAAACCCUUGACCACGGUAUAGUCAGCGACUGGGGUGAAGUCGUAACAAGGUAGCCGUA